GGAUUGUAGUUGAACUUUCUGAUUUAAAGACAUAUUACAGAUUGAUAAAGAUUAAAGUGUUUCUUCCCCUGCCAACAUUAAUAGCAUGUGACAAAACUCUGAAACACCAAAUCAAACCUGGCAACCCGUUCUCAUUAACAGCUGAUCUGAAAAGCCUUAAUUAUCGUCCUGUUCAAACUGUAAUAAGCUGCUUCAUGAGACUAUUUUAAAUGUGUUUAUAAUUAGUUUUUACCUUUUUAUUUUAAUAAUAAUUUUUACGAAAAUGCUCUGAAAUUUCCUCCAAAAUGUUUCCAGUAAAUUCUAUUUUUGCACUUUUUUUGACAAUUGGAAAUUAAGCUUUUAUUUUUAUUUUGUUGUGGCUGUUUGCAUCUUUAUGAAGAAUAUUUUUGUAAAUUGUGAUAUAAAGGAUAUUUAUAAUGUACAGUAUAUGGUGCGACUCAAAGCAAAGCUUUAAAGGUUUUCUCACUUUAAAGGGAAAUGCAGCUUUAUUUUAAUACUGAACAUUAAAGAUGUUUUUUGA